rnacentral:rRNA from 1 species
GUGUCAGCAGCCGCGGUAAUACAGAGGGUGCGAGCGUUGUCCGGAAUCACUGGGCGUAAAGGGCGCGUAGGUGGCGCCCCAAGUCGAUGGUGAAAGCUCGUCGCUCAACGACGAGUCGGCCACCGAUACUGGGGCGCUGGAGCACUGUAGAGGCUCAUGGAAUUCCGGGUGUAGCGGUGGAAUGCGUAGAGAUCCGGAAGAACACCGGUGGCGAAGGCGGUGAGCUGGGCAGUUGCUGACACUGAGGCGCGACAGCGUGGGGAGCAAACAGGAUUAGAAACCCUAGUAGUCC